rnacentral:tRNA from 1 species
GGGGUUGUGGCUCAGCGGUAGAGCGCUUGCUUAGCAUGUGCAAGACCCUGGGUUUGAUCCUCAGCACUACA